UUUAAUGGUUGACCUCGGAUCAGGUAGGAAUACCCGCUGAACUUAAGCAUAU
rnacentral:rRNA from 1 species